GCCAGACUCCUACGGGAGGCAGCAGUGGGGAAUAUUGGGCAAUGGGCGCAAGCCUGACCCAGCAACGCCGCGUGAAGGAAGAAGGCUUUCGGGUUGUAAACUUCUUUUAUGAGGGACGAAACAAAUGACGGUACCUCAUGAAUAAGCCACGGCUAACUACGUGCCAGCAGCCGCGGUAAUACGUAGGUGGCAAGCGUUAUCCGGAUUUACUGGGUGUAAAGGGCGUGUAGGCGGGACUGCAAGUCAGAUGUGAAAAUGAUGGGCUCAACCCAUAACCUGCAUUUGAAACUGUAGUUCUUGAGUGAUGGAGAGGCAGGCGGAAUUCCGGGUGUAGCGGUGAAAUGCGUAGAUAUACGGAGGAACACCAGUGGCGAAGGCGGCCUGCUGGACGAUGACUGACGUUGAGGCUCGAAAGCGUGGGGAGCAAACAGGAUUAGAUACCCGAGUA
rnacentral:rRNA from 1 species